UACGUAGGGUGCAAGCGUUGUCCGGAAUUAUUGGGCGUAAAGCGCGCGUAGGCGGUCCGGUGAGUCGGCUGUGAAAGCCCAGGGCUCAACCCUGGGAUGGCGGUCGAUACUGCCGGACUAGAGUGCGGAAGAGGCGAGUGGAAUUCCCGGUGUAGCGGUGAAAUGCGCAGAUAUCGGGAGGAACACCAAUGGCGAAGGCAGCUCGCUGGGACGUUACUGACGCUGAGACGCGAAAGCGUGGGGAGCAAACAGG
rnacentral:rRNA from 1 species